rnacentral:lncRNA from 1 species
GUUUCACGCCCAGAGAGAGCACGGAAGCUCUGCACCCCACGUACCUUACCCUGUGCACCUCUUCGUGUGGCUGUUCAUCUGUAUCCUUUAUAAUAUCUUUUAUAAUAAACUGGUCAAAGUAGGUAAAUGUUUCUCACUCAAGAAAAUUAAUCAAACCCAAGGAGGGGGUGCUUAGAACUUCAAAUGUGUAGCCAGUCGGUCAGAAGCACAGGUGCCAACCUGGACUUGUGACUGGCCGCUGAAGUGGAGGGACCUGGCCCUUAAACUGUGAGAUCUGGGAUCUCAUCUCCAGGUCGAUGGUGUCAGAACUGAGUUGAUUGCUUGAUGGUGUUGAAAAACACAUCAGACUACCUGACCCAUUUUGUUAAGGGAAGUUGAGGGGCAUUUAAAUAAAAUACCAAAUAUUGUGUAUCACUUAUGUGUAUGUUGAGAAAAUGGUAGACUAUUGCAUAGAUAAAAUAUCAGGACAUUUGUCAAUGGAAAGUAAACAUGCCUAGGUAUGGAGAUUAACUGCAGUUAUUUGGGACGUUCUAUUAAAUGUCUUCAAGCCCAGAGAGGGAAUUAAAAUAGGCGGGAACUUAAAGGCUUGUUUUAAAGACCUGUUUCCUGUUUUUGGUAGGAUCGUAGGGACUAGAAAACAUGCCUUUGGAUGUCGCCAAUUAGAAAGAAAAUGAAUCUGGUUUAUUUCCUUUUUAAAAAGCCUUAAAAAGCCCAGAAGAAAGAAUUUAAUAUUGUGUAUUAAAACUCAGAAAACAAUGUCACCAUGGGAACCCGAAAACACACCCUGAGCGUCCUUAUUGCUUUCCUCUCGUAAUGACGACACUUUCAGUCUUGAAAUUUUGCUUUGGCUCUUACUAGUGUUUCUUACCAAAAAUGAACUUACAUAUUUUUAAAUAAAACUUUGGAAUUACAUAUAGUGGCAGAGAACAUCAGCCUUUUACUGCCAACUCUGUGGCGCUCGAGGCCCGUUUUGAAGCUCUCCCUCUUUCGGGUUGUGUCUGAUGACUUGGUGAGUCAAGCAGCCAUGCACUCGUCAGUCAGCCCACAGAGUGAGCAGGCCCUCUUGUGUACAUGAGGACUCAGAAGGCACGGCAUACACAUGGUGGGGCAGGUAAAAAGAGUAAUACAGAGCAUAGCUUUCUUCAAUUUAGGGGACUAAUCUUUUUUUUUUUUCCAUAGUUGUAUAUCUUAGUUGCAGGUCCUUCUAGUUGUGGGAUGUGGGACGCUGCCUCAACAUGGCCUGAGGAGCGGUGCCAUGUCCGUGCCCAGGAUCCGAACCCUGGGCCGCCGCAGCAGAGCACACGAACUUAACCACUCGGCCACAGAGCCAGCUCCUAGGGGACUAAUCCUAUGGAAGUCCUUUAGAAUAUGUUGUCUGGCUUUUUGGAGAUUCAGGCUUCUUGAUUCUUUCAGGAGUGUAUUGAUUCAUCAUUUAGCAGGACUUUCAGGUUGUGAAAUGGAAAAAAAAAAUGUAAUGGACCCAAUAUUAGGUGAAGAAGAUACUGAAUCUUCUAAUAAUUUUAUUCUUUUAAAUCCUCAAACACAAACUUUAGAGCUUCUGGGUAAUAAUGCAGACUGAAUUUGCAAACCAGAAUUAAAGUUUACUCCCUAGAGGAUGAACUAUAACACAAGAACCUUUUGUAAGAAUAUAUUUUGAUAUAAGACUAGUGGUUUACAGCUAACCAGCUUGCAGGGGCCACAGGUUAGAGAUGCUGAUUUGUAGCAUUUCCAAUUUCCACAGUGUAAAUUCUUGCCCUCAGACUAUGUCAAGAUACUAAUGCUUUAACCACCAGCUCACAAAAUUUCUAAAUAUUUAGCUAUUGACUCUAGAGAGCCAGAAUGAGCUAGCUCAAGUACACUACUGAAAAUCCAUGAUUGGAUGAUUGGACUGGUAAUAAGGAGUCUUGAAAAGAAGCUCCUUUUUUUUUUUUUUUAAAAAAAAAGGCAACUGCUUUGGAGGAAUUUGCAGAUUACCAAGAAAGAAGUCACUGAUCCUUCACUUAAGAAUGAAAGGAAGAAGUCAAUGAAGAGAUGUGUGGUGAGCCAUGUUGUGAAAGGUGUGGAUAUGCUUCUACCUUUGGCUGCACGAAUACUAUAAACUUGACACGAGAAAAACUUUUGAAGAGAAUUGGCUUGUGUGUAACUGUUUAAAAUGCUCUACCAUAAUAUUAUCUUUAAUCUUAGUAAUGAGGAUCAAGGCUGCCCCAGGGAGAAGGCCAAGGCGUCCUGCCCUACACACUGAUCUAUAUCAUCCUCGGGGAAGCAUAGGACGUCCUGACUUAAUCUGACCUCAUUCUUAUCUAAAGUUAUCGGACCACCCAAUAACCACACCCCACCUGCACUGAUACCAUUUUAACGAUUUUUUUCAUGAUCCUUCCUUUGUCUUGUAAAGAAAUAACUCACAUACCUAUGCCUUAUAAAUUUAGCCCUAACCCUCAACACACUGCAGCCCUUCACUGCCCGUGGGUCCUGUCCCCAUGCUACUCCAUGCUAUUCUCUGAAUAAAGGAGCGCUACUGCCAGACCUUGAGAGUCCAAGAAAUCUUCCUUCCGACUCCUCAGCUUGCCGAGCCCGCAUCAUUAGGACAACAGUACUAGAUGAAUGAGGCCAGAUCCCACUUAUGCUUUUAGGAUUUUUAUAAUUUAUAAAUUCUAUUCACUUCUAUGAAUCCCCAGGCCUGCUCUCCAAGGCUACUCAGCCCCACUCUGCUAGCUGCCUUCCCUGAUAAGAAAUGCUGGAUUUCUAAAUAAUGUGCUCAUAGUGCUGCUUCUCAGUUUGUCUUUAGGGACUUAGUUUUCUCUCGGUAUCAGUCAGUGUUCAGUUCAGGAAGCUGCAAUCGUUCUAGGGGUUGAGGGCAGGGAGUCAGGUGAUUACCAAAGUGUGAGCGGGGGGUGGGGCAGGCAACAGUAGAGUGGGAG